UGUUUGCUUUGUGUGAGAGAGUUAAACUAGGAGUUGAAAAACACAGAAUGAUUUAAACCCAGACAAGACUACUAUGCCUCCAAGGACUUUGGGGUAUGGAAGUGGACUGAACAAAGAGAAGACUGAGGACUGAACAAAGAAUUCUGGAAUGACUAUGUCACAAAGGAGAUGCUGAGGCCUCUGGCAUGAGGAAGGAGCUGCAGACCAGAGGAAGAUUUGAAGUGACAGCAUGGAAACCGUGAAUGGGGGUGUCCACCACGAGAGCUACUCCCCAGAAUGAACAAGAGGCGGCAUCAGACCAGUGGGAAUUAUGGAAGGACCCGUCUAUUGUUCUGGGCUCAUGGAGGAGAAAAUCGGAAGACUAUCAGCACUCAGAUGGGAUAGCCUGAGUGAAAACUGUAAAACAAAUCUUGAGCCUCUAGGAUGCACUGGGGUCUCAUUUUGAAGCUUCUGUGACAGCCAGGAGAGCUAAAAUCUCAUUUUUGUUUAAGCAUGAAGACUGAAAUCCUCACAUUUCCACUUGACUCCAGGAGCUGAGGCUUUAAGGAAAAUUGUUACCAUGAGACUCAUGACAAAAUCAUGAGAGUUGGCAAAAUUGCUUUCACUUCUGUUUAAAGGCAGUGGCUUUUUCCAGAAGGCUCUUAAACACAGCACUACAGUGAUUGAGUUAAAGUUCUCACAGGAGAACAUUUAAAACCAAGCAAUUCUACAUUUUAAAGCUGAAGGGAAAAAACUGAGGCCUGAAAUCACAGGGCCACUGUAUGCAGGAAAGAAAAACAGGCAAGGAGGACUCUUGUCAGUUCUUUAUCUUGAAAGAAAGUUGGAUGGUCAAAUCUUCUAAUUCUUAAUCAAUCAAGUAAAACUCAUAUUGCCAUCAGCGCCUCCACUCACAGAUAUUAACAUGUGCUAAAUAAUUGUACACUUCAUACUUAAAUAUCUGAGCAACCCUAUCUAGAAGAAAUAGGGUAGACAUUAUAAGGCAAUGACACUAUGGUGAUGGGACCUCAUAAAUACCCCAGAUGAUGUGGGAAUCUUUCUAUACCACUUCUGGCCAUUCCCCGGAUUUUGGCUCCUUUUCACCUAUGCCUCUCAAAUAUCGUUAUCUGAAUGCAGCCUUGGCUCAGAGGGCUUAGCUGUAUUUCUUCUAAGGACAUGUCUACAGUGUAGAAGAAAGUCAACUUAAGAUACACAACUCUAGCUAUGUGAGUAGCAUAGCUGGAGUCAACAUUGUCACAUUUCUGCAGCACCCCACUGAGGGAUUUUAGAUUCACUGCUAUUGUUACUGAGCAAGAUAAAUCAAGGCUAACUGCACAUGGUGCAUCACACCUUGGAUUGCAAUGUAGACAUAUCAUAUAAUGGGCCUCUGAAUUCAGCACUGAGGAAAGUUUGGCAUACAUAGAUAAUAUGUCAUGUCAUAACUGUUAAGAGAUGCAGCUGCAUUUAUGAUUCCAUGAGUAUUAGUCCCUAUUGUCAGUGGGACAGAAUGAUUAGAAAAAUCCUAAGCUAGAGGAGAGAGGAAAAUUUUCACACCCAAACUAAAACCAGUAUACUGCUGAUUUUUUUAUAUUAUUAGAUUAGUAUUUUGAUAUGUUGCCUGAAAUUUCUGCAGUCUAUGAAUGUAUGUUCUGUGUUGUCUGUGAAUACUUUUUUAUGAUUUUACUCAAUAGAUUGGGUACAGAAAAUAAA